rnacentral:rRNA from 1 species
AGUAACGCGUGAGGAACCUGCCUUUCAGAGGGGGACAACAGUUGGAAACGACUGCUAAUACCGCAUAACACAUAGGUGUCGCAUGGCAUUUAUGUCAAAGAUUUAUCGCUGAAAGAUGGCCUCGCGUCUGAUUAGCUAGUUGGUGAGGUAACGGCUCACCAAGGCGACGAUCAGUAGCCGGACUGAGAGGUUGGCCGGCCACAUUGGGACUGAGAUACGGCCCAGACUCCUACGGGAGGCAGCAG